rnacentral:rRNA from 1 species
GGAGGGGGGGCUAGCGUUGUUCGGAAUGACUGGGCGUAAAGGGCGCGUAGGCGGGGGUUUUUAAGUGAGGCGUGAAAGCCCUGGGGCUUAACCCAGGAGGUGCGUUUCAUACUGAAAGACUUGAGUAUGAGAGAGGAAAGUGGAAUUCCUAGUGUAGAGGUGAAAUUCGUAGAUAUUAGGAAGAACACCAGUGGCGAAGGCGGCUUUCUGGCUCAUAACUGACGCUGAGGCGCGAAAGCGUGGGGAGCAAACAGGAUUAGAUACCCUGGUAGUCCACGCCGUAAACGAUGAGUGCUAGAUGUUGGGGAGAAAUCUUCAGUGUCGCAGCUAACGCAUUAAGCACUCCGCCUGGGGAGUACGGUCGCAAGAUUA